rnacentral:rRNA from 1 species
UGGGGAAUCUUAGACAAUGGGGGAAACCCUGAUCUAGCCAUGCCGCGUGAUCGAUGAAGGCCUUAGGGUUGUAAAGAUCUUUCAGUGGGGAAGAUAAUGACGGUACCCACAGAAGAAGCCCCGGCUAACUCCGUGCCAGCAGCCGCGGUAAUACGGAGGGGGCUAGCGUUGUUCGGAAUUACUGGGCGUAAAGCGCACGUAGGCGGACCGGAAAGUCAGAGGUGAAAUCCCAGGGCUCAACCUUGGAACUGCCUUUGAAACUCCUGGUCUUGAGGUCGAGAGAGGUGAGUGGAAUUCCGAGUGUAGAGGUGAAAUUCGUAGAUAUUCGGAGGAACACCAGUGGCGAAGGCGGCUCACUGGCUCGAUACUGACGCUGAGGUGCGAAAGCGUGGGGAGCAAACAGG